UACGAAGGGGGCUAGCGUUGCUCGGAAUCACUGGGCGUAAAGCGCACGUAGGCGGCUUUUUAAGUCAGGGGUGAAAUCCUGGAGCUCAACUCCAGAACUGCCUUUGAUACUGAAAAGCUUGAGUCCGGGAGAGGUGAGUGGAACUGCGAGUGUAGAGGUGAAAUUCGUAGAUAUUCGGAAGAACACCAGUGGCGAAGGCGACUCACUGGACACGUAUUGACGCUGAGGUGCGAAAGCGUGGGGAGCAAACAGG
rnacentral:rRNA from 1 species